CCUUACCUGGCCUUGACAUACUAAGAACUUUCCAGAGAUGGAUUGGUGCCUUCGGGAACUUAGAUACAGGUGCUGCAUGGCUGUCGUCAGCUCGUGUCGUGAGAUGUUGGGUUAAGUCCCGCAACGAGCGCAACCCUUUUCCUUAUUUGCCAGCGGGUUAAGCCGGGAACUUUAAGGAUACUGCCAGUGACAAACUGGAGGAAGGCGGGGACGACGUCAAGUCAUCAUGGCCCUUACGGCCAGGGCUACACACGUGCUACAAUGGUCGGUACAAAGGGUUGCUACCUCGCGAGAGGAUGCUAAUCUCAAAAAGCCGAUCGUAGUCCGGAUCGCAGUCUGCAACUCGACUGCGUGAAGUCGGAAUCGCUAGUAAUCGCGGAUCAGAAUGCCGCGGUGAAUACGUUCCCGGGCCUUGUACACACCGCCCGUCACACCAUGGGAGUUUGUUGCACCAGAAGUAGGUAGUCUAACCGCAAGGAGGACGCUUACCACGGUGUGGCCGAUGACUGGGGGUGAAGUCGUAACAAGGUAGGCGUAGAUGA
rnacentral:rRNA from 1 species